rnacentral:sRNA from 1 species
AAGUCACGUGCUGUGACAGUAGCUGGGGUGAGGCCGUCGUCGCCGCACGGGCUGGUUGGGGUUGUGUCUGUGGGAGGCGCCGGGGUGAUGGCGGUGGAGACUCUGUCCCCGGACUGGGAGUUUGACCGCGUUGACGACGGCUCGCAGAAAAUUCAUGCCGAAGUCCAACUUAAGAAUUAUGGGAAAUUUCUUGAGGAGUAUACCUCUCAACUGAGAAGAAUUGAGGACGCUCUGGAUGACUCAAUUGGAGAUGUUUGGGAUUUCAAUCUUGAUCCUAUAGCAUUAAAGCUUUUGCCUUAUGAACAGUCCUCUCUUUUGGAACUCAUAAAGACUGAAAACAAGGUCUUAAACAAAGUCAUCACUGUUUAUGCUGCACUUUGUUGUGAAAUCAAGAAAUUAAAAUAUGAGGCUGAAACUAAAUUUUACAAUGGUCUCUUGUUUUAUGGAGAAGGAGCUACAGAUGCCAGCAUGGUGGAAGGUGAUUGCCAAAUUCAAAUGGGGAGAUUUAUUUCAUUCUUACAGGAACUGUCUUGCUUUGUUAUGAGGUGCUAUGAAGUGGUGAUGAACGUAGUCCACCAGUUGGCUGCCCUCUAUAUCAGUAACAAGAUUGCACCCAAAAUUAUAGAGACAACUGGAGUUCAUUUUCAGACUAUGUAUGAGCACUUGGGAGAACUGCUAACAGUUUUGCUCACCCUGGAUGAAAUUAUUGAUAAUCAUAUCACACUGAAAGACCACUGGACUAUGUACAAAAGGUUACUGAAAUCUGUCCAUCACAAUCCUUCAAAAUUUGGAAUUCAGGAAGAAAAAUUAAAGCCAUUUGAAAAGUUCUUGCUGAAGCUAGAAGGGCAAUUACUGGAUGGAAUGAUAUUCCAGGCCUGUAUAGAACAACAAUUUGAUUCUCUCAAUGGAGGAGUAUCUGUGUCAAAAAAUAGUACUUUUGCUGAGGAAUUUGCACAUAGUAUUCGGUCAAUUUUUGCAAAUGUAGAAGCCAAACUUGGAGAACCUUCUGAAAUUGACCAGAGAGACAAGUAUGUUGGAAUUUGUGGACUCUUUGUAUUGCACUUUCAGAUUUUUCGAACUAUUGAUAAAAAGUUUUAUAAGUCUUUAUUGGACAUUUGUAAGAAGGUACCAGCCAUCACUCUAACUGCUAAUAUUAUUUGGUUUCCUGAUAAUUUUCUGAUCCAGAAAAUACCAGCAGCUGCCAAACUGCUAGACAGAAAAAGUCUUCAAGCCAUUAAAAUACACAGGGAUACUUUUCUACAACAGAAAGCUCAAUCACUUACCAAAGAUGUACAGUCUUACUACGUCUUUGUGAGCUCAUGGAUGAUGAAAAUGGAAUCUAUUUUGUCUAAAGAGCAGAGAAUGGAUAAAUUUGCUGAAGAUCUCACCAAUAGAUGUAAUGUUUUUAUACAGGGCUUCUUGUAUGCAUAUAGUAUUAGUACCAUUAUUAAAACCACAAUGAAUCUCUACAUGUCCAUGCAAAAGCCAAUGACCAAAACCUCAGUUAAGGCAUUGUGCAGGCUUGUUGAACUUCUCAAGGCAAUAGAGCAUAUGUUCUACAGGAGAAGCAUGGUUGUGGCUGAUUCAGUUUCACAUAUAACACAACACCUUCAACAUCAGGCUCUUCAUUCUAUUUCUGUGGCCAAGAAAAGAGUGAUUUCUGACAAAAAAUACAGUGAACAGCGUCUUGAUGUGCUCUCUGCUCUAGUUUUGGCUGAAAACACUCUAAAUGGACCAAGCACAAAGCAACGGCGACUUAUUGUUUCUUUGGCACUAAGUGUUGGCACACAAAUGAAAACAUUUAAAGAUGAAGAACUCUUUCCACUUCAAGUAGUCAUGAAAAAACUGGAUCUUAUUAGUGAACUUAGAGAACGAGUCCAAACACAAUGUGACUGUUGUUUUUUAUACUGGCAUCGAGCUGUCUUCCCAAUUUAUUUAGAUGAUGUAUAUGAAAAUGCUGUUGAUGCAGCCAGAUUACAUUACAUGUUCAGUGCUUUGCGCGACUGUGUACCUGCUAUGAUGCAUGCAAGGCAUUUAGAGUCCUAUGAGAUACUUCUGGAUUGCUAUGACAAGGAAAUUAUGGAAAUUUUAAAUGAGCAUUUGCUGGACAAAUUAUGCAAAGAAAUAGAGAAAGAUCUGCGACUUUCUGUGCAUACUCAUUUAAAGCUGGAUGACCGAAACCCUUUCAAAGUUGGCAUGAAAGACCUGGCUCUUUUUUUCUCUCUGAAUCCAAUUCGGUUUUUCAAUCGUUUCAUUGACAUUCGGGCUUACGUAACUCACUACCUAGACAAGACUUUCUACAAUCUAACAACAGUAGCCCUUCAUGACUGGGCCACUUAUAGUGAGAUGAGAAACUUAGCUACUCAGCGUUAUGGACUGGUUAUGACAGAGGCACAUCUUCCCAGUCAGACUUUGGAACAGGGCCUUGAUGUUUUAGAAAUUAUGAGAAACAUUCAUAUAUUUGUGUCCCGAUACCUCUAUAAUCUCAACAAUCAGAUUUUUAUUGAACGAACAAGCAAUAACAAGCAUUUGAAUACUAUUAAUAUUCGGCAUAUUGCUAAUUCAAUUCGAACACAUGGCACGGGAAUUAUGAAUACAACUAAAUGGGCAUUCACGGCUUGGCGUGGUGGCUCACGCUUGUAAUCCCAGCACUUUGGGAGGCUGAAGCAGGAGGAUCACCUGAGGUUGGGAGUUCAAGACCAGCCUGACCAACAUGGAGAAACCCCAUCUCUACUAAAAAUACAAAAUUAGCCAGGUGUGGUGGCGGGCGCCUGUAAUCCCAGCUGCUUGGGAGGCUGAGGCAGGAGAAUCGCUUGAACCUGGGAGGCAGAGGUUGCGGUGAGCUGAGAUUGCGCCAUUGCACUCCAGCUUGGGCAGCAAGAGCGAAACUCCAUCUC